GAUGAACGCUAGCUACAGGCUUAACACAUGCAAGUCGCGGGGCAGCAUGGGGGUUGCUUGCAAUCCCCGAUGGCGACCGGCGCACGGGUGAGUAACGCGUAUCCAACCUGCCCUUCACCACGGGAUAACCCGGCGAAAGUCGGACUAAUACCGUAUGUUGUCCAUUGACGGCAUCCGAUUUGGUCGAAAGGGUUGGCGGUGAAGGAUGGGGAUGCGUCCGAUUAGCUGGACGGCGGGGUGACGGCCCACCGUGGCGACGAUCGGUAGGGGUUCUGAGAGGAAGGUCCCCCACACUGGAACUGAGACACGGUCCAGACUCCUACGGGAGGCAGCAGUGAGGAAUAUUGGUCAAUGGGCGUAAGCCUGAACCAGCCAAGUAGCGUGCAGGAUGACGGCCCUAUGGGUUGUAAACUGCUUUUAUGCGGGGAUAAAGUGGCCCACGUGUGGGUUUUUGCAGGUACCGCAUGAAUAAGGACCGGCUAAUUCCGUG
rnacentral:rRNA from 1 species